UCUCGUCCCUCAGAUCCACCGUAGUGACGUGUCCGUGGAGACCCUGGAGGAGAAUCACCAGGCUGUUCUCUGUGAUGGUGCGCUCGCGGAUGGAAUGGUGUCUCACGAGGUCUGCUGGACCCAAGUCUCCGCCUUUGAACAGUUAUUCAUGCUAUCAGACAGCACCAGGAUGGAUGACAUGCAGGUUGAUCAUCAGGUGAUUUAAUUGCCAAGAAGUUGCAUCUUGACAUGGCAGUGCCAGAAUUACCCAAUCAGGAGCCUGAUAAGACCAUCCUUGAUCAGACUGACCACAGUACUCUCAUACCUCCAUCCCUCUCUGGGCAGAUGUGAGUGGCCAUGACCCUGUCCAAGUUACAACACUGAUGAAACAGCUCCACAGGAGUCACAGUUCAUCCAUCAUGGCGAGCAGGUCAUCUCCUUUACUGCUGGGGCCCUCUGAUUGGCUGCCCUCUUCUGCAAACUCUUCUGCUAUCCGAGCCAGCUCUGUGUUGGUCUGUACGUCCUGAAACACAUCCAGGAGGACAAGGACUACCAACACAGCUGUACCCCGCUGGGCCCACGCACAUCCACCACAUCCACAGUCCCAAAGAAGCACAGGGAAUCCUACCUGGGUUGCUUGAAUACGAAUCACUUCAAAUAACGAGUCCACGCCCUCU